AGGAUGAACGCUAGCGGCAGGCUUAAUACAUGCAAGUCGUGGGGCAGCAUAGGGUAGCAAUACUCUGAUGGCGACCGGCAAACGGGUGCGGAACGCGUACGCAACCUUCCUUUAACUGGAGAAUAGCCCCUCGAAAGAGGGAUUAAUACUCCGUAAUAUAAUGAUAAGGCAUCUUAUUAUUAUUAUAGCUCCGGCGGUUAGAGAUGGGCGUGCGCCUGAUUAGGUAGUUGGCGGGGUAACGGCCCACCAAGCCUGCGAUCAGUAACUGGUGUGAGAGCACGACCAGUCACACGGGCACUGAGACACGGGCCCGACUCCUACGGGAGGCAGCAGUAAGGAUAUUGGUCAAUGGACGCAAGUCUGAACCAGCCAUGCCGCGUGGAGGAUUAAGGCCCUCUGGGUUGUAAACUCCUUUUAUCUGGAAGAAUCCAUAUAAUCUUAUAUGGUUGACGGUACCAGAGGAAUAAGCACCGGCUAACUCCGUGCCAGCAGCCGUA
rnacentral:rRNA from 1 species